rnacentral:rRNA from 2 species
ACAUGCAAGUCGAGCGGACAGAUGGGAGCUUGCUCCCUGAUGUUAGCGGCGGACGGGUGAGUAACACGUGGGUAACCUGCCUGUAAGACUGGGAUAACUCCGGGAAACCGGGGCUAAUACCGGAUGGUUGUUUGAACCGCAUGGUUCAAACAUAAAAGGUGGCUUCGGCUACCACUUACAGAUGGACCCGCGGCGCAUUAGCUAGUUGGUGAGGUAACGGCUCACCAAGGCAACGAUGCGUAGCCGACCUGAGAGGGUGAUCGGCCACACUGGGACUGAGACACGGCCCAGACUCCUACGGGAGGCAGCAGUAGGGAAUCUUCCGCAAUGGACGAAAGUCUGACGGAGCAACGCCGCGUGAGUGAUGAAGGUUUUCGGAUCGUAAAGCUCUGUUGUUAGGGAAGAACAAGUACCGUUCGAAUAGGGCGGUACCUUGACGGUACCUAACCAGAAAGCCACGGCUAACUACGUGCCAGCAGCCGCGGUAAUACGUAGGUGGCAAGCGUUGUCCGGAAUUAUUGGGCGUAAAGGGCUCGCAGGCGGUUUCUUAAGUCUGAUGUGAAAGCCCCCGGCUCAACCGGGGAGGGUCAUUGGAAACUGGGGAACUUGAGUGCAGAAGAGGAGAGUGGAAUUCCACGUGUAGCGGUGAAAUGCGUAGAGAUGUGGAGGAACACCAGUGGCGAAGGCGACUCUCUGGUCUGUAACUGACGCUGAGGAGCGAAAGCGUGGGGAGCGAACAGGAUUAGAUACCCUGGUAGUCCACGCCGUAAACGAUGAGUGC